rnacentral:rRNA from 1 species
CUGAACCAGCCAAGUAGCGUGAAGGAUGACUGCCCUAUGGGUUGUAAACUUCUUUUAUAUGGGAAUAAAGUGAGCCACGUGUGGCUUUUUGUAUGUACCAUACGAAUAAGGAUCGGCUAACUCCGUGCCAGCAGCCGCGGUAAUACGGAGGAUCCAAGCGUUAUCCGGAUUUAUUGGGUUUAAAGGGAGCGUAGGCGGAAGCUUAAGUCAGUUGUGAAAGUUUGCGG